GGGUCCUGCCCAGCUGACUCUCACCAGGACUCACCCACAACGAACAGCUUGACACCCCUGCUCCUUCAGCCUCUGAGCAGCUGUGUCCACCAGGUCUUGGGACUUCCCGUCAGUGAUCAGGAUGCAGACCUGAGGCAGGGGCAGGAGCCACGUGAGCUCUCGGAUGGCACGGAUUACAUCACCCCCAGAGCCAAAUGCAUCCAGGCCAAACUCCGUCCUGAUGGGGCAAGCGUGGCACCAGGAAAAGGGUCCCCACCUCCAAAAGGCUACACUCACUGUGGGUCGUCACUGUACUGCACCGUGGCAAAGCGCACUCCCUGGGUGCUGGCUGCCCCUGAGAAAGGCAGCACCAGCCCCUCCAGGAAUCCCUGCACUUCUCGGAAGUUGUUGCGGCCAAUGGAGGAGGAGCCAUCCAGUAGAAACACGAUGUCAGCAGCAUAAAGGUUGGGCCCACAGUCGGGGCACCCCCACCAAGAUCCCAGCGCAGAGUGCAGCCACCAGGAGCCACGACCUCAUCCUGAGAGACAGAAACGUUCAGCCAGGAUCCCUGCCUCUGCCCCUUGCCCCCGUGGCUUUGGCAGGCUCUCGACAAGGAGAUGCUGAGAGAGCUUCCGAACCAACCCAUGUAGAGUCAAAGCAUGACCGGAGAAAUGACUGCUGUACACUGAAGUGUGGACAGGUUCCUUCAGACCAAAGGGGUAGCUGUGCCAAGGCCUGAAGACUCUGGUGUGGCCAGACCUGAGGGCAGUGAGGAAACCCAAUAGUGCCAACUUUCCUGUUGUCCGGGAAGGCUGGAGCUACCCCUUCUCCCUGACUUCCC
rnacentral:lncRNA from 1 species